AAACGCUUGAAGUCAGUCACAUCCUUCAGAAAUCAACCUGAUCAUUAGGUCUGGUGCACUUUCUGUUUGGAUGGGUCAGCAUCAAUUUUGAUCAUUGGAUAAAGGAUGAGGGAAUGUGGCAUCUUUGGAUGUGUUAUAGACCUUGUUCAUAUACAGUGGUUGGGAUUGAGGAACUCAGUGCUUGCACUCAGGAUGUUGGCAUAAUGGCUUUAAUCGA
rnacentral:rRNA from 1 species